GAGAGAGGCUAAGUAAGCACCGAAAACUGCUAAUUUUCGCCACCUUGGUUAGACUCCAGGGCUCACUCG
rnacentral:tRNA from 1 species